rnacentral:misc_RNA from 1 species
UGUAGGAGUGAGCCUGCUCGCGAUAGCGUCGGUUCAGUCCCAUUUCAGUGACUGGCACACCGUUAUCGCGAGCAGGCUCACUCUACAG